UACGGGGGGGGCAAGCGUUGUUCGGAAUUACUGGGCGUAAAGGGCUCGUAGGCGGCCAACUAAGUCGGAUGUGAAAUCCCCAGGCUUAACUUGGGAACUGCAUCCGAUACUGGAUGGCUUGAAUCCGGGAGAGGGAUGCGGAAUUCCAGGUGUAGUGGUGAAAUGCGUAGAUAUCUGGAGGAACACCGGUGGCGAAGGCGGCAUCCUGGACCGGCAUUGACGCUGAUGAGCGAAAGCCAGGGGAGCAAACGGGG
rnacentral:rRNA from 1 species